rnacentral:rRNA from 1 species
AUUGAACGCUGGCGGCAGGCUUAACACAUGCAAGUCGAGCGGAGCGAAGGUGCUUGCACCUUAGCUUAGCGGCGGACGGGUGAGUAAUGCUUAGGAAUCUGCCUAUUAGUGGGGGACAACGUUUCGAAAGGAACGCUAAUACCGCAUACGUCCUACGGGAGAAAGCAGGGGAUCUUCGGACCUUGUGCUAAUAGAUGAGCCUAAGUCGGCUUAGCUAGUUGGUGGGGUAAAGGCCUACCAAGGCGACGAUCUGUAGCGGGUCUGAGAGGAUGAUCCGCCACACUGGGACUGAGACACGGCCCAGACUCCUACGGGAGGCAGCAGUGGGGAAUAUUGGAUAAUGGGCGAAAGCCUGAUCCAGCCAUGCCGCGUGUGUGAAGAAGGCCUUUUGGUUGUAAAGCACUUUAAGCGAGGAGGAGGAGCUUCAGGUUAAUACCCUGGAUGCUUGGACGUUACUCGCAGAAUAAGCACCGGCUAACUCUGUGCCAGCCGCCGCGGUAA